UACAGAGGUCUCAAGCGUUGUUCGGAUUCAUUGGGCGUAAAGGGUGCGUAGGUGGCGGGACAAGUUUGGUGUGAAAUCCCGGGGCUCAACCCUGGAACUGCACUGAAUACUGCUUUGCUAGAGUACUGGAGAGGGAACUGGAAUUUACGGUGUAGCAGUGAAAUGCGUAGAUAUCGUAAGGAAGACCAGUGGCGAAGGCGAGUUCCUGGACAGUUACUGACACUGAGGCACGAAGGCCAGGGGAGCAAACGGG
rnacentral:rRNA from 1 species